rnacentral:misc_RNA from 1 species
CUGCCCCUCACUUCCGCUCUCAAGCUCCGCGCCCUCACUUAUCAAAAGCAACAAACCAAAGCCGAGCAAAGGGAAACGCCUGCCGCGUGUCGGCUGCCGCAUUUUAUGCGCGUUGACCGCCUGGCGCUCUUUCGCUUCGGCCUCUUUGCGUCCUCCCCCUUCUCGCCCUCCCCCACCCCGCCUUCUGCGCGGCUCCGCAGGCACACGCGGUCCACCUCUUCGCUCCGUAUGAUAUACGCAUUUCCUCGCACGCAUCCUUCACAGACUUAAAGGGCUAAACUUUCUUGACUCUCGCUUUUGUUUUUGUAUUUCUUCCUGUUCCUCCUUCUGUGGUUUGCUCCGUGCGCGCCAUCUCUCUCCUCCCCUCUUCCCCUCCUCCCCCGGUGUCGGCUCCCCUGUGCUCGGCUUUCGUGAUCGUCUGCAAGCAACCGUACAUCAGCUUGUGCCCGUUUCCCUCUUUUUUUUUGCGUGUUCAGUGCGGUGCCGCCCAGCAACAAUCUCUGUUGCGCGAGUCCCUUUCCCUCUCUCUCUCGACUCACGUUGCUGCUUCUCUCCCUGCCGUCCUCUCGAAGCGUCUCGCCGUUUUGCAGUUCUGCAGCGCUGCCCUCGCCUCGAGCCGCCACCGCACAGUUUUCCGUUUUGUUUUGCUUGCCCUUGCUCCGGUGCUGUCUCCGCUCUUCCCCUUCUUUGAACUAUUACGUAGCACCAGCGCCACCCACGUACACACGCUCGUGCGCCUCUCCCCCCUCUCUGUGUAUACCGUAUAUCGUUCUCGACGUACAACGAGCGUUUCUAGUUGAUUCCUCACUGCCUCACUUUGGUUUCUUUUUCCCUUCGCAUUUCGCAGCGGACACCCCCCACUCGAGGCGAGAGAGGUAGACCGAGUUGGGUGGACCUAAUCUUGCGGUGCCCAACACCCCACCACCCUUCCCCAUCACAAGCACACAUAGUCUUUUGUUUUCCUUUUCUUUCUGCUUUAUAUCUAUUACAACACGCGUGUCGCGAAGUGUAGCGCACGGGAAGCAUGCCCGCCCACGCCGCCUCUCCCCCAGCUGCCCACCAGGAGCAGCAGUACCAGGCUUCUCAGACGGGCACAGCAGGUAGCGACACCCCGUAUGGCCAGUACGGCGGCGGUCAAGAGUUUCAGCUGACUGCUACGGAUAUGGCGCUGGACAUGCUGAUCCGCGCCGUCUUUGAUCUUUUACAGCGAUCUAUGGCGGCCCCGAUUGACCGCGUGAUGGUGCUGACCGCUGUCGAGGGCGAACUGGUGCGCCAGGGCCGCCUGCCCGCUGGUGGCUUCCAUGGCGUUGGACAGCUGUACAGCCGCCUGUGGCGCAAGGAGGGGCUUGGCGGUUUUCUCCGCGGUGUCAUGGCAGAUGCGGUGCUGACGCUGCCGAGCGGCUUCGUGGACUCGUUCGCCACCAAUGCGGUGUUUGCAUGCCUGCAGCGGCUGAUUCCGGCCCGCAUGGCGGAUCAGAUGAGCACCUCUGUCAUCGUGGCGCUGUCGAUGGCGGCCACGAGCGCGGCGGUGUGGGUCGCCACCCCGUACAAUGCCAUCCGCAAAACUAUCAUGACCAACUACAUGGCUGACAUUGUCGCUCCAGCCGGUGGUGCUACCGGUGCUGUUUGCGCUGGCGGCGAGGCAGCGGCGGCGAAGAGCGGUGCGAAUGGAAGAGCAGAUGCAGAGGAAGCUGAGCCGGUCUCGCCGCUGCAGGAGGAGGCGUACCGCUACACAACAGCCACGGAGACAGCUCGCCAAAUCUACCGUCGCAAGGGUUGGGGCGGGUUCUACCGCGGCGCCGCCGUCGAGCCGCUGACCGUGUGCACUUACCGUGGUCUGUACCUUAUCGCCUCCGUCAUGUUGAGUGAACGUGUACAGAUGGCGUACCCGUACGCGGUGGCUCGCGGGUUGGCGAUUGUGGCCGACGUACUCACGCAGCCGCUGGAGGUGGUGAGCCGUCGCCUCGUUCUGACGGCUUCAGACGAGAAGGACGAGAGGCGCUACGCCGGCGUUAUGGACUGCGCCAGGACGAUUGUGCGAGAAGAAGGGGUGACGGCGCUGUGGUCGGGGCUACGCUUCCGGCUCAUGGUGAGCGUCGCUAGCAUUGCAAUACGCACGGUUUUCGUAAUGUUUACGGAUUCCGCAGACGCUUGAUGUGCGUCGGCUGGAAAAGAAAGAAUAAGGAAAGGUCAUCCCUGACGCUUUCUCUUCUCCUAUGCGCGUGCGCGUUGGGCACUGAUUGCGCUGCCUUUUUUUUUUUUUAAGAAGAUGCUCACGUGCUUCCUGGCGUUUGGCGUGUACAGGCGUGCGCGCGAAUGGGCGUAGAAUCUCGCGGUACACCGGCCUCGCAUUUCUCUGUCGCAUGAGCGCCGUCAAGGCCCACUUGGUUGCUGUUCCCGUUGUGUGUGCACGAGUAUACACAGAUAUGUAUGCAUGUAUGUGUGUAUAUAUCGCUGUUGUUGGUUUCACGCGCACGCUUUUUUUUCGUCCCUUAUCUUUGUUUCUUUCGAGCGCCGAGAGCGGCGUGCGCGUGCGCGACGACGGGUCUCCUGCCCCCCUCCCUCCCUCCCGCCUCUCGCCCCUCUCACCCCCUUUUUCAUCUCCUCUUGUCGCUCCACUCGCUGGCCCCGUCGCCUCCGCUCCACCUUCAGAAGGGAAGAAACACGAUUAAGACAUUAACACGUGCCAGCAGAUGUGCUUUCUUG